GCGGCGUGCUGACUCCGUUCGUCGGAGAAGCAUGUUGCGGACCAGCGCCGCGUGCUUCCUCGUCGAACGGUGGCGACCACGUUGC
ncrna:Triticum aestivum miR9657b stem-loop (tae-MIR9657b)